rnacentral:rRNA from 1 species
GACGAACGCUGGCGGCGUGCUUAACACAUGCAAGUCGAACGAAGUGGCGAACGGGUGAGUAACGCGUAAUCAACCUGCCCUUCAGAGGGGGACAACAGUUGGAAACGUCUGCUAAUACCGCAUACUUACGGUGUGUAUUGCGUCUGAUUAGCUAGUUGGCGGGGUAACGGCCCACCAAGGCGAGGAUCAGUAGCCGGUCGGGGAGGAUGAACGGCCACAUUGGGAAUGAGACACGGCCCAGACUCCUACGGGAGGCAGUAGUGGGGAAUCUUCCGCAAUGGACGAAAGUCUGACGGAGCAACGCCGCGUGAGGGAUGACGGGCUUCGGGUUGGAAAGCUCUGUUAAUCGGGACGCGGUACCGGAAUAGAAAGCCACGGCUAACUACGUGCCAGCAGCCGCGGUAAUUC